AGUGAACGCUGGCGGUAGGCCUAACACAUGCAAGUCGAACGGCAGCACAGUAAGAGCUUGCUCUUACGGGUGGCGAGUGGCGGACGGGUGAGGAAUACAUCGGAAUCUACUUUUUCGUGGGGGAUAACGUAGGGAAACUUACGCUAAUACCGCAUACGACCUACGGGUGAAAGCAGGGGAUCUUCGGACCUUGCGCGAUUGAAUGAGCCGAUGUCGGAUUAGCUAGUUGGCGGGGUAAAGGCCCACCAAGGCGACGAUCCGUAGCUGGUCUGAGAGGAUGAUCAGCCACACUGGAACUAGGACACGGUCCAGACUCCUACGGGAGGCAGCAGUGGGGAAUAUUGGACGAUGGGCGCAAGCCUGAUCCAGCCAUACCGCGUGGGUGAAGAAGGCCUUCGGGUUGUAAAGCCCUUUUGUUGGGAAAGAAAAGCAGCAGGUUAAUACCCCGCUGUUCUGACGGUACCCAAAGAAUAAGCACCGGCUAACUUCGUG
rnacentral:rRNA from 1 species